UACGGAGGAUUCAAGCGUUAUCCGGAUUUAUUGGGUUUAAAGGGUGCGUAGGCGGCCUGUUAAGUCAGGGGUGAAAGACGGUAGCUUAACUAUCGCAGUGCCCUUGAUACUGAUGGGCUUGAAUAUACUUGAGGUAGGCGGAAUGUGACAAGUAGCGGUGAAAUGCAUAGAUAUGUCACAGAACACCAAUUGCGAAGGCAUCUUACUAAGCUAUUAUUGACACUGAGGCACGAAAUCAUUGAUAUCAAACAGC
rnacentral:rRNA from 1 species